GUCCGGACCUUCUAGGCGAAUUACUUUUUCCCUAGAUUCUUCUGUCUCUUUCUUUCUGAUUUACAAAUCAAUAUUCUGACUGAAAGAUUAUUAACCUAGCUCCCAUUUAUUUUUUACCAGGUUAGUUAUCAAUUUUAUUAUUAAUAACUAUUUCCCUCUUUUUCUUUCUUCCUUUAACUUCAUUCAAAUACAAGAAAAAAUGAUAUUAGCUCAAAUUGCAUGCAAAACCCGCCAAAAAGCGCCUAAAUAUUGGUUUGUUUACGUGGGGAGAGCGCUAAGGCUAUGGGGGAAUUUAUCGAAUAUUAUAAAAAAUGACUAAGGAAAUGAAUUAUAUAAAAGAAAAAAUAAUUCAGAAAAGAAAAUGAGCAAAAAAGUGGCCAGAAUUAUAUUAUAGAAACAGAAAAGAAUAGCGGCUUGCAUUUUACCUCCAAAUUCAAUUGGUAAAGGUUAGAUGCCAUAAUUUAUAGCUUACUGUGCAAAUUUGCAUGUAGUUGGCGGGAGUGCAUGCAUAAUAAAAACAGUAUUUCAGCAAACAAAAUUUGAGUUUGGACAAAAACUUAAAAAAAAAAAUGAAAAUAUUAAUAAAUAUAUGCAUAUUGUAUUGAAGGCGAAGUUGAAGAUACCUCUAUAACUUAAUCUUUAUCUUAAAUGUAUUCAUUAAGUUGGUUCCAGUGAGUAGUGGAACCAGGAAUCAAUAGUAUAGUGAGUGUGGGUGCUAUUAAUUUGUAAUGCCAAGCAUGGAAAAGUUAUGGGAUAUUAAAGUUCAUCCCUGGAGCUUUCCUGUCCAUAGUCAGAGUCUUCAGAGUCACUAUAUUCGUGAUCUUCUUCAUCGUUUUGGUAAGAGGCUGUUGGCUCUGACUCUGCUGGAACAGGGAUCGGAGUGGAUCUAGGGAUGUUAGAUGAUAGAGAGUGGGAUCCAUCCAGGAGUCCAUCAAUAAACUUUGGAAGCUGCUCAAGGUUAUCAAAUGUUUGAAAUUUCCUUCUCUUAGCUCUAUAAAUGGCAAUACAUGUUUUUGAAGACGGUGAAAACUCAGAAUGACAUUUGAAAGUAUCUAAGAAGUGGCUAUUUUUGCCAUUUCUAAAGGCUGAGAUCCAGAAGAAGUUUAUUGGGUCGUUUCUAUACUUGAAAGAAAGGUCUUCAAAACGCUUAUCCAUUCUAAAGUCAUUCUUUUCCAUAAUUAAAAUAACACAAAAUCUUGAAUCAGUCUCGGAGCAGAACCCUUUGGAAGUAACCAAUUCAAAAGUAAGUUCCUGAACUUUGCUCUUCAAGGCCUCGUUAAUGUCAUGCUGUUUCCUUGCUCUAAAUGAGCCAACAAUACGACUCAAUGUUAAAGUAAUGACAUCAUGAGAAAUUGUAUUAAGAGAAAUCCAUUCUCCAGAGGCAGUUAUUGAUGAUGAUUCUGUGGCUUUUCCUCCAACUUUAUUUCCAGAUUCAUUAAUUUCAUCUACUGAGAGAAUAUAAGGGGGAUUUGCGGGUUUUGAAGCUUCCAUGUGGGGUGAUGCAAAGAAUAUCUUUUUCAGCCAGUCAUUAUUAAUCGAGACAAUUGCUAGGUUUAGUCUAUUCUGGAAAUCUUUUGCAAUCUUUUUGAGUAAAGGAGAGGAAGAGUCUUUGUUUGUGAACAAAACUGCUUUUGGAAUAUGCUUCCCAAGUCUAAGCCAUUGAAUCGCUUGGUUAUAAGAAUUGAGACGCAUAGAGUGAUCUGGCAUUUUUUCUGUUAUCCAUUUGCCUAUAUUUGAUUCACUAUAUGGAUUCUUAGAUCCAGGACUUGGAUUAAAGACUAUUUGGCUAUUUUUACCUUUAAUAAACAUGGAUAGGUGAGGGUACUUCUCAAUAUUAUAGGAUUGACAAAGUUGAAAAUGGGUAUCGCAAUUAACUGCUCCAAAUUCUACAUCAUACUGGGACAUUAGUUUUGCUAUAUUUCCAUAGGCUUGUACUAGCUGCUUACAGGGUCCACAUCCAGGCCUAUAGAAGUUAACAAUCAUAAUCCAUUCUCUGGAUUUGAUCUUAUCCUUGAUUUCACCAGCUGACAUUGUUGAAAGUUCAGUAACAUGUUUUGAGUCCGAAUACAAGUUGUUAUAGGAGCUUCCUUGAGAUUCAAAAUGAGAUCUUGAAUUACUUCCCUGACGCCUACCUCCACCACCUCCUCCAAAACCAAAUGGUCCUCCCCCUCCAAAAUGGAAAGUAUUGCCUCCUGCACUAAACUUGAAACCUCCGAAGUCCCCAAAGCCUCCAAAUCCACCAAAUCCACCAAAAUCAAAUCCUCCAUCUCCUCCUCCACCAAAUCCUUCAGACUUUAAUCCCUCUUCUCCAAAAGCAUCGUAUUUACGUCUUGUUUCAGGAUUGACUAAAACCUCAUAUGCAUUUGCAACUUCCAUGAAUUUCUCUUUAGAGCCAGGAUUUUUGUCUGGAUGGUAUUUUAAGCUUAACUUUCUGUAUGCUCGUUUUAUUUGGUUCUCAUUUGCAUUUCUUGGAACCCCUAAAAUCUUAUAGUAAUCUUUUCCUGCAAUUACUGGUAUUACUAUUAACAAUACUAAUCUUAGCACGAAUAAAACGCAGAGCAUCUUUGAUUUGCCAUGAAUUUAAAGACAGUAAUUAUCUACUCUGAAAACUGUGUCAAAACCACUCCUCACAAUUUAGUAUUUAAGAUUCUUAAUAAUUAUGAUACCACUUUUCCUGUUUAUUUAUUCUUUGCUUGAACCUUAUAGGAAUUUAUUAUUCCUAUUCCAAAUUAGAUUCUUUAAGUG
rnacentral:antisense_RNA from 1 species